ensembl:lncRNA
AUGGCAAAUUACUCGGCACUAGAGCUUGUUAGAAGGGUUUUAGAUGAAAGGGGUUUUUGUGUUACUCUGUUUAGGACUCCCAUGGGCUUAACAGAAUGUGAGAGCACUCUCUGCUACAGAAAAUCCCGGUGGCUGUGUCAUCUCCUGGGAAGUGGGAGCUGUGGCCAGACUGCAUCAGGGACGGUCACCAGUACGUCUUGCCCCAGUAUGCUUCGUAUGGGCGCAGUCUGGAAGAGAGCUUGUGGGCCAGCAGGAAGGCAGAGAAUGCUAACGGAGAGUUGAAAAGACACGAGCCAGUGAUUUCUUUGUUGCUGCUGUACCAGUACAUUUUAAACACUCUUCUGUACCAAGCAACACCCCCCUGCACCCCAAACCCCAGCAAAAACAAAGACAGCCUCUUUUUUUAUUUCUUCCAAAGAAGGAAUCUGCUCAGUUCAGUUAAGUACAUUGACCUUUGGUUACAUAUAGUAACGCUGUAAACAGUGGGCCCAGCUCACAGACAAAUAACGUGAACUCACUCACUUUAAGAGAGUUAAGUUCAAGAGAAAGUUGUUUUCAAAAAAAAAAAAAAAAAAAAUCUAUGUUGCCUAUCAUUCUGCAGCAUGAAACACAGUAAUUGCUCAGUUUUGGACGUUUUAAACUAGAAUAUUAGCUUUCAAAUUGAAUCAGGACGGGUCAUCUGCUUUCCUAACAAGUGCGGAUGAGUUACAUUUUCAAAGGUAUCAAAAUGUACUGUCAUACUGGUUUGCAUCAGUCAAUAGCCCCAUGUCCUCGGUGACUUUUUAAGUAAGUAAACGUUAAUUACACAGGUAUUGCUAUGAACCAAGCCCAUUGUUUAAAGGAAGCACAAUUCUUGCCAAGUUAAAAGUCUUUACAUAAGAACGUGGUUUUGUAAUGGAUUUGAAGAGCUGCUGUGUGAGUUAUUAAAAUUGUGUCUUCCUGCUUGCACUGUGUACCAAUGCAGAAAAUGGACAAACAUGCAGUAAAAUGUAGCAUCAUUUAGAAAAUAAUAUGUAAAAAAAAUUCAGUAUCUUAUAUUAAAGCAUUUACACUGCAUAGGCAUUCAUAUAAGGAUAUAGUAUAAUAAAACUCAUCAAAUAUGCAAGCAUGCAGCAGUUGCCUUAUUCACAGUUCUAGAAAUGACCACACAUUGAUUUUCUUAAAUAUAAAUUGGGUUAUCCAAAAUAGAUUUUGCAGCCAGUCUCCUUUGCAGUGGCAAACUAUGUUCCCAUGUGCAUUGCAGAUACUGACCUAUAUAACAGGCCUAAGCUAUGCCACCGUAUUGUACACAUCUGUGAUAAAUACUGUGUUUGAAAUAGGAAGGAUAAUGAGAAGUUACCAUACUUCUCGUAGUAGAGCUUGGAGACUACACAAUGCUUGAAUUAAACAAAAAAUAUAAGCAUAUUUACUGUAUUCUCCUUAGAGAGUAAUACUGCAACCUUGCCACAUAUCUAGCUACUGCAUAAGCUGGCCAUGCAGUUUUCAAAAUAAGUUUAGACAGGUUUUUCUAUUUGAGAUUUCACUCCAUCAGAGGAAGUACAGUAGUAAACUCAUAUAGUACAUACCCUUCCUGCCCUGCAAACCUUACAAAGGACUCCUGCUACUCUUAGGUUGUUUAUGGAAAUAGAAUACAAUGCAAUGCCAAAGUCACACCCACAGAGAGGUUUUCUUGUCUUCAUUUACUCCUGUACAGUAGAGAGCUUCAAGCACUUAGAUAUCGCAAGAUAUCAGCACCUAGAUUAGACCCUUUCUGUGGCUGAAGGGCACCUGGAGGGUAAAGUUGGGGGUAUGUGGUUUGAAGUUGUCUGUGGUUUUGACUUGCUUGUUAUUGCCUAGCUUGGCACGCCAGCCUGGUGCGUGACCCCCAAGCCAACAGCGAACAGUUUGGAGGCAAGGCUUGUGUUAAGGUGUGUGAGGUUUGAAAAAUUGGGCUCUAGAGCCUGGUUUUGGACAUGCCAAGGCAAAGAGGAGUGAAGAUUAUGACUUAAACCCUUCUCCCUUUGCAGAUAUCUUUUUCCAUAAUGCCUACCUUCUGCUUUUUCUCAUCUUUGUGUAUAGUAACAAAGAUUUUUUGGUGUCUUUAGUCAAUAUGUGCAUGUGCUUCCUUUUUCUUGGCACUUCAAGUAAAGCUAGUACAAGUGAUAUCGCAGGAUGUCACAACACCCAAGAUGCAGGCAGUGUGAUUCAUUGCUGUGUAGAAAGCAGCAAAGGAUUCCUACAAAAAAAGCAUGUAGGAAGUAAUAGCUUGAUAAGGAAAAAGCCAGAUAAUGGGCAGAGAGGGAGGGAGGGAGCAGAAGCAUUGGCUAAUGAAAAAGGGGAGUGUGGAAAAGGAAGAACUGGGGGCAGUGGUUGCUGGAAGAAGAGAGUGUAAUCCUCCCUGGAGCGUUUAGUUCAGAGAGAAGCAUUGCCCUUUGUUUUGUAAAAAAAAAAAAAAAAAAAAAAAAAAGUGAGCUUUGGCACACUUGUACAUGGGAAUGAAAAGGCAAGUAGAUGGCUUUGGUAUGUGCUGUCAGAAUCUGUUACCUUAAUGUACUGGUAGGCGGUGGCCAGGAGUUUGUUUUUGUAAUCUGUUAUUUUGAGUCUCUCUCCCUCUCUUAACGUGUGCGUAUUCCCAUUCACUAGUGAAGGAGAUGUGUCCCUUACCAGCCGGAGCUGUUCUGCUUCCUGUCUCUCUCGCAGGAGGAAAGCAGCAGAAGGCGCUGUGCAUACUCGCUUCUGUGUGUGUGGAGCCUUAAAAUCACAUCUGGAAUUUG